ensembl:lncRNA
CCUAAGAACAAGACUAAGGAUAACGCAGGUGAACAUUGGGUCACCACUGCCCCCUGGUGGAUAACAGUUGUACUUGCAAAUUGAACAAAAUUAUACAAAAACUACACCAAAGUAAUGGUUUCCAUUCUAGAUUAGGCCGUAAUUUCAUAAUUCUUAUUGGUAGAGGUAAAGAUAACAUUUACCACCAUUGCCCUCAUGUUUAGUUUUAUUUAAAUCCAGCAAUCAUACAUUUCGGAUGUUGAAUUCCCUCUCCGUGGUACCCACUAACAAGUGGAUGAUCUAUUCUGAUUAAACAUCAUGAUUUGCUGUACAAUUAAUGAUGACUACUGUAGGCUUCUUCACAGCUGUACCCGAUUAUCAUCAUGGGACAAAAAUGUGAUGCUCCGCUCUUUAAACAAAUAUUACAUUGUAGUGAAGUUGCAGCAGCAAACCAAAAAGUGUACCCACUCCCCAAACACCUUAUUGCCUUUCAGUUCUUUCUUUGACAAGAAGAGGACCUCUUCAUGGACAUCUCAUUGGACAAUUUAGAGCUCCACGAAAACAUUAAGUUAGAUGAAUGAUUAACCACAAUGAAAACCUGAACAUGAAUGAUGCUCUUGUCGUGACAUUACUUAUUCUCUGUCCUGUCUAUUUGUUUGCUAAAUGAUUCCCUCACUGAAAAUGGCAUGUAUUGUACAACCCCCAGCAACCCCACCAAAGGGAUGCUGUCAUUCGGUCUGUCCAGCUCAGUGUCUGUUGUGCCCAGUGGGUCGAGGUUCAUCAUGACUUCUUCUUCUCUGCUAACUCCUCCAUCUGCCUCUUCCUCAUCUCCAGCACCUCCAUUAGCUUGGCAUCAUUCUUAGCACGCUCCUGAGCCCUCAUCUCUGCUAGGUCCUCAAAGAAUCGGUGUCUGUAGAAGAAAGCAGUGGCCAGUCCCACGAUUAAUGUUCCAAAUAAAAUUGGUUUUGUAAGGCGCUUUAUGGCAGACAGUUGAUGUUGCUUCAUGGUAGACAACAACCACCACUAAACUUGUCCGAAAUUUUGCAAAAUUAAUAACUGUUGUCCGUCAAAAUAUUCUUAUUUCACUAGUCUCUUGCAACAACUGUACCGUGACCUCUCCAAGAACGCAAAAGAUGCACAUACAACGACUUCCGCCGGAUCACCCCUCCCUUCAUUACGAAACACGUUGGUUAAAUCAAAUGCAUUUUGUGAGAAUUUAAAUAAACUAUUUAAAUGAUAAAAUAUACAAGUGUACACAGUUGUCACGCAUUCACGAAUAAAGUAAAACUGCAGGAAUAUCCUCCUC